rnacentral:pre_miRNA from 1 species
CUUGUAUUCCCUCCGUCCGAAAAUACUUGUCAUUGAAAUGGAUGUAUCUAGAUGUAUUUUAGUUCUAGACACAUCCAUUUUGAUGACAAGUAAUUCCGUACGGAGGGAGUACUUG